GUGUUCACUUCAGCAGCACACAUACUAAAACUGGAAUGAUACAGAGAAAAAUUAACAUGGCCCCCAUGCAAGGAUGACACGCAAAUUUGUGAAGUGUUAAAAAAAAAA